rnacentral:rRNA from 1 species
AGCAGCCGCGGUAAUUCCAGCUCCAAUAGCGUAUAUUAAAGUUGUUGAGGUUAAAAAGCUCGUAGUUGAACCUUGGGUCUGGCUGGCCGGUCCGCCUCACCGCGAGUACUGGUCCGGCUGGACCUUUCCUUCUGGGGAACCUCAUGGCCUUCACUGGCUGUGGGGGGAACCAGGACUUUUACUGUGAAAAAAUUAGAGUGUUCAAAGCAGGCCUUUGCUCGAAUACAUUAGCAUGGAAUAAUAGAAUAGGACGUGUGGUUCUAUUUUGUUGGUUUCUAGGACCGCCGUAAUGAUUAAUAGGGACAGUCGGGGGCAUCAGUAUUCAAUUGUCAGAGGUGAAAUUCUUGGAUUUAUUGAAGACUAACUACUGCGAAAGCAUUUGCCAAGGAUGUUUUCAUUAAUCAAGAACGAAAGUUAGGGGAUCGAAGACGAUCCGAUACCGUCGUAGUCUUAACCAUAAACUAUGCCGACUAGGGAUCGGACGAUGUUAAUUUUUUAAUGACUCG